rnacentral:rRNA from 1 species
UGGGGAAUUUUGGACAAUGGGCGAAAGCCUGAUCCAGCAAUGCCGCGUGUGUGAAGAAGGCCUUCGGGUUGUAAAGCACUUUUGUCCGGAAAGAAAUCCUUGGCUCUAAUACAGUCGGGGGAUGACGGUACCGGAAGAAUAAGCACCGGCUAACUACGUGCCAGCAGCCGCGGUAAUACGUAGGGUGCAAGCGUUAAUCGGAAUUACUGGGCGUAAAGCGUGCGCAGGCGGUUUGCUAAGACCGAUGUGAAAUCCCCGGGCUCAACCUGGGAACUGCAUUGGUGACUGGGCAGGCUAGAGUAUGGCAGAGGGGGGUUAGAAUUCCACGUGUAGCAGUGAAAUGCGUAGAGAUGUGGAGGAAUACCGAUGGCGAAGGCAGCCCCCUGGGGCCAAUACUGACGCUCAUGCACGAAAGCGUGGGGAGCAAACAGGAUUAGAUACCCUGGUAGUCCACGCCCUAAACGAUGUCAACUAGUUGUUGGGGAUUCAUUCCUUAGUAACGUAGCUAACGCGUGAAGUUGACCGCCUGGGGAGUACGGUCGCAAGAUUAAAACUCAAAUGAAUUGACGGGGUCAUA